GAUAGGGGUAGGAAGAGGAGGAGGGACCCGGGGAGGGGGGUCUUUCGCAAGUGGGGCCUCGGGGGAUCCCUGCUCUCCUCCUUCUGCUGCGUUCUGCAACUUUAAAAGCCUUCCUUGGGGUUCUGAGCAAGGAUGUCUGACUCGAAUGACCUGAGAUUUGGACAUUUUCCCGUUUUCUCUCAAGUGUAGCUUUAAUGUUGUGAGUUUAAAUUCACCAAAAGAGGCCCAGAUAUCAAGUCGAGUGGAUUUCACAGCAUCAUCUUCUGUUUUAAUCGUUUCUGAAGUCAUAUCCUUUAGGGUGAACUCACAACAAUGCAGGUCAGAGAGACUGCGCGCCCUAAAGCAAACCAGUUAAAACGUCAGGCCAGAUCUUCAAGCUGCAGGAUUGCAAGCAGCUCAUAAACUUCCAGUCCCCACCCUGAGACAAGGACUCCAGGCUGCCCUCCCCUCUCUGCCGCAUCUGAGGCUGGAAAAACUUCCUAUAAGAAGGCAAGAGAAAGCCACCAGGUCAGAGCCGAGGACUAAACUUUAAGGUGGAAGAUGGCAGAGAGGCAGGUUCUCCCCUGCACACCCUAAGGCCUCUCCUGCCCCCGCGAGGCCUUCCUUGAGCGCCCAGGCCCCCAAAGUGCCUGCCCUCCUUCUAACAAAAGGAGGGCGUAGGAUGUGAAGGAAUAGUGCAACCAAUAAUGUUUUUGUAAACACAACAACAGGGAAAUACAUGGAGGAAAUCUA